UACGUAGGUGGCGAGCGUUGUCCGGAAUUACUGGGUGUAAAGCGCGUGUAGGCGGGAGGCCAAGUCUGCGGUGAAAUCGCUCGGCUCAACUGGGCGGGGUCCGUGGAAACUGGUCACCUGGAGGACGGUAGAGGCGAGUGGAAUUCCCGGUGUAGUGGUGAAAUGCGUAGAGAUCGGGAGGAACACCAGUGGCGAAGGCGGCUCGCUGGGCCGGACCUGACGCUGAGACGCGAAGGCGUGGGGAGCGGACGGG
rnacentral:rRNA from 1 species